rnacentral:lncRNA from 1 species
UAGCGGGGUUUUGGUCCUCUCUGAAGGAGCAUUUACUUCUGGAGUUCCCCUGCAGCUGGGUGAAUCAGUUAUCGGUGUCUUAUUCUCAGGCUUUCUCUUCAGGUCAUUCAUAGCAGAAGAGUUCAACCGGUAAACGGAAGAACUUGGAACAUGGAAUCCUUGGGAAAGGGAACCAACAGGAGGAGGCUUUCUGACAAGAAAUGUCCUAUUCUCAGGUUUUCUCUUCAGGUCAUUCACAACAGAAGAGUUCAACCGGUAAAUGGAAGAACUUGGAGCAUGGAAUCCUUGGGAAAGGAAACCAACAGGAGGAGGCUUUCUGACAAGACUGUUACCCUUGCGAAUGUAAGGGCCGGCCUUCCCAAUGU